rnacentral:rRNA from 1 species
GACCGAACCGACUAAUGUUGAAAAAUUAGCGGAUGACUUGUGGCUGGGGGUGAAAGGCCAAUCAAACCGGGAGAUAGCUGGUUCUCCCCGAAAGCUAUUUAGGUAGCGCCUCGUGAAUUCAUCUCCGGGGGUAGAGCACUGUUUCGGCAAGGGGGUCAUCCCGACUUACCAACCCGAUGCAAACUGCGAAUACCGGAGAAUGUUAUCACGGGAGACACACGGCGGGUGCUAACGUCCGUCGUGAAGAGGGAAACAACCCAGACCGCCAGCUAAGGUCCCAAAGUCAUGGUUAAGUGGGAAACGAUGUGGGAAGGCCCAGACAGCCAGGAUGUUGGCUUAGAAGCAGCCAUCAUUUAAAGAAAGCGUAAUAGCUCACUGGUCGAGUCGGCCUGCGCGGAAGAUGUAACGGGGCUAAACCAUGCACCGAAGCUGCGGCAGCGACGCUGAUGCGUUGUUGGGUAGGGGAGCGUUCUGUAAGCCUGUGAAGGUGUGCUGUGAGGCAUGCUGGAGGUAUCAGAAGUGCGAAUGCUGACAUAAGUAACGAUAAAGCGGGUGAAAAGCCCGCUCGCCGGAAGACCAAGGGUUCCUGUCCAACGUUAAUCGGGGCAGGGUGAGUCGACCCCUAAGGCGAGGCCGAAAGGCGUAGUCGAUGGGAAACAGGUUAAUAUUCCUGUACUUGGUGUUACUGCGAAGGGGGGACGGAGAAGGCUAUGUUGGCCGGGCGACGGUUGUCCCGGUUUAAGCGUGUAGGCUGGUUUUCCAGGCAAAUCCGGAAAAUCAAGGCUGAGGCGUGAUGACGAGGCACUACGGUGCUGAAGCAACAAAUGCCCUGCUUCCAGGAAAAGCCUCUAAGCAUCAGGUAACAUCAAAUCGUACCCCAAACCGACACAGGUGGUCAGGUAGAGAAUACCAAGGCGCUUGAGAGAACUCGGGUGAAGGAACUAGGCAAAAUGGUGCCGUAACUUCGGGAGAAGGCACGCUGAUAUGUAGGUGAAGCGACUUGCUCGUGGAGCUGAAAUCAGUCGAAGAUACCAGCUGGCUGCAACUGUUUAUUAAAAACACAGCACUGUGCAAACACGAAAGUGGACGUAUACGGUGUGACGCCUGCCCGGUGCCGGAAGGUUAAUUGAUGGGGUCAGCGCAAGCGAAGCUCUUGAUCGAAGCCCCGGUAAACGGCGGCCGUAACUAUAACGGUCCUAAGGUAGCGAAAUUCCUUGUCGGGUAAGUUCCGACCUGCACGAAUGGCGUAAUGAUGGCCAGGCUGUCUCCACCCGAGACUCAGUGAAAUUGAACUCGCUGUGAAGAUGCAGUGUACCCGCGGCAAGACGGAAAGACCCCGUGAACCUUUACUAUAGCUUGACACUGAACAUUGAGCCUUGAUGUGUAGGAUAGGUGGGAGGCUUUGAAGUGUGGACGCCAGUCUGCAUGGAGCCGGCCUUGAAAUACCACCCUUUAAUGUUUGAUGUUCUAACGUUGACCCGUGAUCCGGGUUGCGGACAGUGUCUGGUGGGUAGUUUGACUGGGGCGGUCUCCUCCUAAAGAGUAACGGAGGAGCACGAAGGUUGGCUAAUCCUGGUCGGACAUCAGGAGGUUAGUGCAAUGGCAUAAGCCAGCUUGACUGCGAGCGUGACGGCGCGAGCAGGUGCGAAAGCAGGUCAUAGUGAUCCGGUGGUUCUGAAUGGAAGGGCCAUCGCUCAACGGAUAAAAGGUACUCCGGGGAUAACAGGCUGAUACCGCCCAAGAGUUCAUAUCGACGGCGGUGUUUGGCACCUCGAUGUCGGCUCAUCACAUCCUGGGGCUGAAGUAGGUCCCAAGGGUAUGGCUGUUCGCCAUUUAAAGUGGUACGCGAGCUGGGUUUAGAACGUCGUGAGACAGUUCGGUC